AUUGAACGCUGGCGGCAUGCCUUACACAUGCAAGUCGAACGGUAACAGGUCUUCGGAUGCUGACGAGUGGCGAACGGGUGAGUAAUACAUCGGAACGUGCCUAGUAGUGGGGGAUAACUACUCGAAAGAGUGGCUAAUACCGCAUGGGAUCUACGGAUGAAAGCAGGGGAUCGCAAGACCUUGUGCUACUAAAGCGGCCGAUGGCAGAUUAGGUAGUUGGUGGGAUAAAAGCUUACCAAGCCGACGAUCUGUAGCUGGUCUGAGAGGACGAUCAGCCACACUGGGACUGAGACACGGCCCAGACUCCUACGGGAGGCAGCAGUGGGGAAUUUUGGACAAUGGGCGAAAGCCUGAUCCAGCAAUGCCGCGUGCAGGAUGAAGGCCUUCGGGUUGUAAACUGCUUUUGUACGGAACGAAAAGCCCCGGGUUAAUACCCUGGGGUCAUGACGGUACCGUAAGAAUAAGCACCGGCUAACUACGUGCCAGCCGCCGCAGUAA
rnacentral:rRNA from 1 species